rnacentral:rRNA from 1 species
UGGUUCAUUCAAAUUUCUUCCCUAUCAACUUUCGAUGUUUGGGUCUUGGCCAAACAUGGUCGCAACGGGUAACGGAGGGUUAGGGCUCGACCCCGGAGAAGGAGCCUGAGAAACGGCUACUACAUCCAAGGAAGGCAGCAGGCGCGCAAAUUACCCAAUCCCGAUUCGGGGAGGUAGUGACAAUAAAUACUGAUACAGGGCUCUUUUGGGUCUUGUAAUUGGAAUGAGUACAAUUUAAAUCUCUUAACGAGGAACAAUUGGAGGGCAAGUCUGGUGCCAGCAGCCGCGGUAAUUCCAGCUCCAAUAGCGUAUAUUAAAGUUGUUGUGGUUAAAAAGCUCGUAGUUGAACCUUGGGCCUGGCUGGCCGGUCCGCCUCACCGCGUGCACUGGUCCGGCCGGGCCUUUCCCUCUGUGGAACCCCAUGCUCUUCACUGAGUGUGGCGGUGAAACAGGACUUUUACUUUGAAAAAAUUAGAGUGCUCCAGGCAGGCCUAUGCUCGAAUACAUUAGCAUGGAAUAAUAAAAUAGGACGCGUGGUUCUAUUUUGUUGGUUUCUAGGACCGCCGUAAUGAUUAAUAGGGACAGUCGGGGGCAUCAGUAUUCAAUUGUCAGAGGUGAAAUUCUUGGAUUUAUUGAAGACUAACUACUGCGAAAGCAUUUGCCAAGGAUGUUUUCAUUAAUCAGGAACGAAAGUUAGGGGAUCGAAGACGAUCAGAUACCGUCGUAGUCUUAACCAUAAACUAUGCCGACUAGGGAUCGGACGAUGUUAUUUUUUGACGCGUUCGGCACCUUACGAGAAAUCAAAGUGCUUGGGCUCCAGGGGGAGUAUGGUCGCAAGGCUGAAACUUAAAGAAAUUGACGGAAGGGCACCACCAGGGGUAAACCGCUUCGCGCAGCCGCAGUAGCUCUGCCCCAGAAAGCAGCCCGAAAGGGUCAGUGGUGUUCCUGCCAGCGCUCCGGCGCGGCGAACUAAUUGCUAGUCUCCUCUGGAGGCGACACCCUCAAAUUGCGGGAAAAUCCUAAAGCCAGUGUCACCAAGCCGGCGCCGAAAGGGCGUCGGUGGCCGGGGUAGCGACCUAGGGUACGGUAAAAGCACACUGGAUAAUGCAAUGGACGAUCCGCAGCCAAGCCUCGUCGCCGCAGGGCACGGGGAAGGUUCAGAGACUACAUGGGGGUGGGUAGUGCACUGUCUGGGGGCUCCGGC